AUGGCCGGUCGGGUGGUCGCCCUGUCGGUGUAGGAGCUGGCAGGGAGGAAAGUCCGAGCAGGGUAGGGCACGGUGGUGGCUAACGGCCACCGGGGUAAACCCUAGGGAAAGUGCCACAGAGAACACACAGCCGAUGGCUGACCGCAAGGAAAGCUCAGGCAAUGGUGAAAAGGUGCGGUAAGAGCGCACCGCAGCGAUGGUGACAUCGCUGGCAUGGUAAACCCCACCGCCUGCAAGACCAAGUAGGCUGGCAUGGUCCGCCAUAGGUGGACCUAGCACCUGGCCCGGGUGGAUGCCAGCGGGUAGGUCGCUUGCCGUUGUGCGGCAGAGGCGGCUGGCAACAGCCGCCCAAGAGGAAUGACUACCGCCCUUGCUUGUUGCAGGGUACAGAACUCGGCUUAUAGACCGGCCAUCAUA
rnacentral:RNase_P_RNA from 1 species